GUGUGAAUGUGUGGUGAUUUUGUCUGCGGUGUCUUGGGGAGGAUUGUUGGCCUGGUAUAUAGAUAAAUAGAUUAGAAUUUGGAUUAACAGUGUCAAUGUUGUAUGUGAGUGUAUAGUGUAGUGUCUGGGCCACCCUGUAUAGGACUGCCAGCCUGGCAUAUAGAUAGAUCAAUCUAAUUAUUUGACAUUUCAUAUUCUGAACAUUUUGCUGAUCCAAUUAAUCUGUUAAGGGAGCACUUUGUUCAACAUCUUUAAAAUAUUAUUUGAUCAUCACCUGUAUCUCUCACCUGAUGAUAUAGAUAGGCUGGGUGUAGGUAACAACUUUCAACCUCUCCUCAGUGAUGGACAAUUCAGAGACAGUGAGGUCAGCUUCCCCUGACUGCAGAGCUCCUACCGUGCCCGUCCACUCGUUGCUUGAGUUGUCCUUCAGUUUCCCGUAGGCAUAACCUUCCAGUACAUUGAAACUGACUCUGUACAAGAGAGAGAGUGGGAGAAAAAAUAGUGUUGUGUAUUGAGGGAAAGAAAAUUUCUGUCUUGUCUUCUCUAUUUAGGGAAAGAAAAGGAAAAGGGCAAGUAGUGUCAUAUGCAUGGAGGAAAAGGAAAAUUAUUCUCAUAUGCACUGAGCAAAAAGGAAAAGUACUGUGAUAUGUACUAAGGGAAAGGCUGGGUGUACUGAAGGGAAGGAAAAAUACUGUUGUCGUAUUUAUUGAGGAAAAGAAAGAAAUACUGUCGUAUGUACAUUUUUUAAUUGCUAGAAAGAAAAGUGAAAUAUACAUUUAUAUGUAUAGUUUAUUUUUCAUAUCAGUCACAAGUAUGGAUGUUUGUUUCCCUUCUUUUUUUUUCACAUGUACAGCUACCUCCUCAAAUAGCAUGUAUUUUCAAAAUUUCAAGCUGCUGUGAUGAUGAAAAAAGCCUGAAAGAAAAAUGACAAGGAACAAAAAGUAAUGAGAAUAAGUUUUGUGGCAACUAUUCAUUAGGUGUCACUUUUUCACUCCUCCACUUAGACUGGUACAGUUGAACGCAAAAUGUGAAAACUUACGAGAAAUUGUGUGCAUCCCUUAGUGCAGUGACAAUAUCCCCCACAAAACCAGUGAUAUUUCUUUGACUGGAGGUUAGUUCAAUAAUUUUGAAGGCUGGGAUUAAUUUUAAUGAGGGAUGAGAGGGUGGAAGUGACUGGGAGUAUAGGUUAAUAAUUCUACCAGCUGGAAAGGAUUUUGAGGGUCAGAGGAAAGUGAUUGGAUAUUAGCUUGAUAAUCGUGCUUGGUGAGAUUAAUUUUAGUGAGAGACUAGAUGGUGGGAGGAUGAUAUUUAGAGGUUAGUUUGGUAAUUUUGCCAGUUGGUAUUAAUUUUUAGUGAGGGAUGAGGGUGUCAGAAGAAUGUGACUGGAGGUUAGUUUAAUAAUUCUGAGGGUGGGAGGAAAGUAAUAGGGGGUUAGUUUAAUUUUGGUGAUGGAUGAGAGUGUGAGUGGAAAGUGUAGCUGACCACAUAAUUUAUCAAAUAAUACAAGCAUUGUACACAUUCUUAAUAAUGUUCCAUGUUAAGAUAUACUAAACAUGAAGUUACUCCACAAUAUAUGAUGGUGUAAAUUACGAAUGGUUAAAGUCGAGACUUGUUUGAUGAUGGCCUGUUUGCUUGCUCCCCUUGGACGUGCGGCAAGUGCAGCAGCGUUCGACCGUUUCUCUAGGGGCAAGCGACACCUCCUGGUGGGGGACUUCAAAUCUGCUGUCGCUGCCUUCGAGGUGUGUCUGUUGCUUAGGUGUGGAGGCAACAGAGUCCCUGGUGGAGCUGUGUGGGGAGCAGGCGCCCGAGUGUGGUGACGCGUACUCGCCGCUGUGGCCGUGCAUUGCUGGAGCUGGCACGCAAGGAGGCAGGGGUGCUGGGGCCAGAUCUGGAUGGUGCCAGUAGUCAGGAGGGAAGCACAGGGGAAGAGGAGGACGAGGAGGAAGAGAGUUAAGAGUCACAAGAGGAGGAGGAAGGUGGAAAGAAAGAGGAAGGAGAGGAGGAGGAGGAGGAGGAGGAGGAAGAUGGAGAAGGAAAGGAGAAAGAUAAGAAGGAAGGAAAUGCUGCAGAAGGAGAAGAGCAAUAAGAAAUUAGAAUUGACAGAGAAACCAGACAAGGGACUGCAUUUGAAGAAGCACAAGAACCAAGAAAUUACAUCAUUCAAUGAAAUGACAACAUAAUCUAAAAUAGAAAUCAAAAAUGUCACAAGACAGAAUAGUGAGCUGCAUGCACUUAUCACAGAGUAUAAAGUCACUCCCUCAGAGGAAAAAGACAAGGAUGGCAUGUCUUCAUGUGAGAACUCAGAAGCUAAAUGUACAGAUACCAAGGGGAAAUUGCUGGGUCAAGUGGCUACACUGACAUCUGAGGUUAGCAGGUUGGAGAGUGAGUGCAGCAGUCUUCAGGUUCAGCUAGACUGUGAGAGGGAUAAGUAUAACAAACUGCUGGGAGAAUCUCUUGCUCAUGAAAAGUUGUCUGAAGAUGUCAUAACUGAACCAAAA